GAAAUGCGAUAAGUAAUGUGAAUUGCAGAAUUCAGUGAAUCAUCGAAUCUUUGAACGCACAUUGCGCCCGCCAGUAUUCUGGCGGGCAUGCCUGUUCGAGCGUCAUUUCAACCUUCAAGCCCUGCUUGUGUUGGGGUCCUGCGGCUGCCCGCAGGCCCUGAAAACCAGUGGCGGGCUCGCUAGUCACACCGAGCGCAGUAGCACAUCUCGCUCAGGGCGUGCGGCGGGUUCUUGCCGUGAAACACCCCCCCUUUCCACAGGUUGACCUCGGAUCAGGUAGGAAUACCCGCUGAACUUAA
rnacentral:misc_RNA from 1 species